UACGUAGGCAGCAAGCGUUGUUCGGAGUUACUGGGCGUAAAGGGUGCGUAGGCGGCUCUAUAAGUAUGGUGUGAAAUCUCCCGGCUUAACUGGGAGGGUGCGCUAUAGACUGUGGGGCUGGAGUGCGGCAGAGGAGACUGGAAUUCCUGGUGUAGCAGUGAAAUGCGUAGAUAUCAGGAGGAAUACCGAUGGCGAAGGCAGGUCUCUGGGCUGACACUGACGCUCAUGCACGAAAGCGUGGGGAGCAAACAGG
rnacentral:rRNA from 1 species